GCCAGGCUUGGUGGCGCGUGCCUGUAAUCCCAGCUACACAGGAGGCUGAGGCAGGAGAAUUGCUUGAGCCCGGGAGGCGGAGGUUGCAGUGAGCCGAGAUCGCUCCACUGCACUCCAGCCUGGGCAACAGAGCAAGACUCCGUCUCGG
rnacentral:sRNA from 1 species